GAUGAACGCUGGCGGCGUGCCUAAUACAUGCAAGUCGAGCGAACAGACGAGGAGCUUGCUCCUCUGACGUUAGCGGCGGACGGGUGAGUAACACGUGGAUAACCUACCUAUAAGACUGGGAUAACUUCGGGAAACCGGAGCUAAUACCGGAUAAUAUAUUGAACCGCAUGGUUCAAUAGUGAAAGACGGUUUUGCUGUCACUUAUAGAUGGAUCCGCGCCGCAUUAGCUAGUUGGUAAGGUAACGGCUUACCAAGGCAACGAUCCGUAGCCGACCUGAGAGGGUGAUCGGCCACACUGGAACUGAGACACGGUCCAGCCUCCUACGGGAGGCAGCAGUAGGGAAUCUUCCGCAAUGGGCGAAAGCCUGACGGAGCAACGCCGCGUGAGUGAUGAAGGUCUUCGGAUCGUAAAACUCUGUUAUUAGGGAAGACCAAAUGUGUAAGUAACUAUGCACGUCUUGACGGUACCUAAUCAGAAAGCCACGGCUAACUACGUG
rnacentral:rRNA from 1 species